ACGCUAGCUACAGGCUUAACACAUGCAAGUCGAGGGGAAACGGCAUUUAGUGCUUGCACCGAAUGGACGUCGACCGGCGCACGGGUGAGUAACGCGUAUCCAACCUGCCCAUUACUGUGGGAUAACCUGCCGAAAGGCAGACUAAUACCGCAUAGUCUUCGAUGACGGCAUCAGAUUUGAAGUAAAGAUUUAUCGGUAAUGGAUGGGGAUGCGUCUGAUUAGCUUGUUGGCGGGGUAACGGCCCACCAAGGCGACGAUCAGUAGGGGUUCUGAGAGGAAGGUCCCCCACAUUGGAACUGAGACACGGUCCAAACUCCUACGGGAGGCAGCAGUGAGGAAUAUUGGUCAAUGGGCGCGAGCCUGAACCAGCCAAGUAGCGUGCGGGAUGACGGCCCUAUGGGUUGUAAACUGCUUUUGUAUGGGGAUAAAGUCAAUCACGUGUGAUUGUUUGCAGGUACCAUACGAAUAAGGACCGGCUAAUUCCGUGCCAGCAGCCGCGGUAAUACGGAAGGUCCGGGCGUUAUCCGGAUUUAUUGGGUUUAAAGGGAGGGUAGGCCGGAGAUUAAGUGUGUUGUGAAAUGUAGACGCUCAACGUCUGACUUGCAGCGCAUACUGGUUUCCUUGAGUACGCACAACGUUGGCGGAAUUCGUCGUGUAGCGGUGAAAUGCUUAGAUAUGACGAAGAACUCCGAUUGCGAAGGCAGCUGACGGGAGCGCAACUGACGCUUAAGCUCGAAGGUGCGGGUAUCGAACAGGAUUAGAUACCCUGGUAGUCCGCACAGUAAACGAUGGAUGCCCGCUGUUGGUACCUGGUAUCAGCGGCUAAGCGAAAGCAUUAAGCAUCCCACCUGGGGAGUACGCCGGCAACGGUGAAACUCAAAGGAAUUGACGGGGGCCCGCACAAGCGGAGGAACAUGU
rnacentral:rRNA from 1 species